CAGCCGCCGCGGUAAUACAGAGGGUGCGAGCGUUAAUCGGAUUUACUGGGCGUAAAGCGUGCGUAGGCGGCUUCUUAAGUCGGAUGUGAAAUCCCUGAGCUUAACUUAGGAAUUGCAUUCGAUACUGGGAAGCUAGAGUAUGGGAGAGGAUGGUAGAAUUCCAGGUGUAGCGGUGAAAUGCGUAGAGAUCUGGAGGAAUACCGAUGGCGAAGGCAGCCAUCUGGCCUAAUACUGACGCUGAGGUACGAAAGCAUGGGGAGCAAACAGGAUUAGAUACCCCAGUAGUCCCUGUCUCUUAUAC
rnacentral:rRNA from 1 species